CGACAGGACGGAAAGACCCCAUGGAGCUUUACUGUAGCUUGACAUUGGGUUUCGAUACUACAUGUACAGGAUAGGUGGGAGACUAUGAAAUCAGGGCGUCAGUUUUGAUGGAGUCACCCUUGGGAUACCACCCUUGUAGUAUUGGGACUCUAACCAUAGGCCAUGAAUCUGGUCUUGGGACACUGUCUGGUGGGCAGUUUGACUGGGGCGGUCGCCUCCCAAAAGGUAACGGAGGCGCUCAAAGGUUCCCUCAGUACGGUCGGAAAUCGUACGAAGAGUGUAAAGGCAAAAGGGAGCUUGAUUGCAAGACAUACAGGUCGAGCAAGGUAGAAAUACGGACUUAGUGAUCCGGUGGUUCUGAGUGGAAGGGCCAUCGCUCAACGGAUAAAAGCUACCCUGGGGAUAACAGGCUUAUCUCCCCCAAGAGUCCACAUCGACGGGGAGGUUUGGCACCUCGAUGUCGGCUCAUCACAUCCUGGGGCUGUAGUUGGUCCCAAGGGUUGGGCUGUUCGCCCAUUAAAGUGGUACGCGAGCUGGGUUCAGAACGUCGUGAGACAGUUCGGUCCCUAUCCGUCGCAGGCGUAGGAAAUUUGAGAAGAUCUGUCCUUAGUACGAGAGGACCGGGAUGGACAUACCUCUGGUGUACCAGUUGUUCUGCCAAGGGCAUGGCUGGGUAGCUAUGUAUGGAAGGGAUAAGCGCUGAAAGCAUCUAAGCGCGAAGCCAACUUCAAGAUAAGAUUUCCCACCGCAAGGUUAAGAUCCCAGGAAGACUACCUGGUUGAUAGGUCAGAGGUGUAAGUGCAGCAAUGUAUGUAGCUUACUGAUACUAAUAGAUCGAGGACUUGACCAAG
rnacentral:rRNA from 1 species